GGGUAUUUUUUUCUUCCAAAGCCAGUGCUGGAACCUGUGCUGUGCGGGAGAGGACAAGACCAAGUAUGUCCCCAAAUUCCCAUCAGAGGACAGCCCCUCAGCCAGUCCUUCCUCUGAUGCCUUCAGUCUGCACUCCUAUGCAAGCCCCCUCUGUGAGGCUUGAAGGAAGAUGGGAAAAGAGGACCCUCGUCAAAGGGAGGUGACGGAACUUGCACUUGGCUCCUCUCUGGCAAUCACCCUUGAGAAAGUCGCGGCAGAUAGGGACCUCCUCCUUGCCAUUUGGUAGGUCAGCUGGUGAAAGACCCAGGCCGGCUGCCACUUUCUGUCUCAGCCGAGGGGGAAGCUCUCCUGUCUUUUUAUAGCCAUCCUCAUCCUCCUUGGAGCCAUGGAUGAAUCGGCAGUUUGGACGGCUGCACUCCUUGUUCUGGAAGUCAUGGCAGAAGAUGAACUCAUUUUUGCUCACCCCCAAGUUGGACACCUCACUCAUGUCUGGAUGGCGAUAGCGGCAACGCUUGCCUCUCUUGCACACAUUCCUCAGGAAGUCUCUACAGAUGGCAUCUGAGCUGGCCCCGCCACUGCCUGCCCCUGUCCCACUGGCCUCCUCGCUGCCACCGCCUCCAGGGCCUCCACCGCUGCUCCCAGUGCCGUUGGCAUAGCUGUCCCGGUCAGGCAUCCUGGUCCCCCCCAACUCAGGGCUUUCUUCCUUUUCUUGCCACCCUUGGUGACUGCUAGGAAAAAGGAGAACUGUGUCAAAUAAAAGUCCUCCAGAGAGACCAAACUCUUCCCGACUAUCGGGCAGGCAGUCCAGCAAGAGGCAGGCCAGAGGGGCAAUGACUUUGGAGAUGGAGAACCUAAUGAGAAUUCUGCCUGGACUGGCUAGCUUGUCAGAAGUCCCGCCCAGGCCCUUGUGCACCUGGUCUGGGUCAGAGUGAUUCACACUUGCCUGACUAACGGAGGAGGGAGGGAGCUGGGGAGAAGCCACCUCAUCUCACUAACAUGCUAGGCCAAGGAGGGGGCAGGGAGAGAAUAGUGCUGGAUUUUAUUUCUCCUUCUGAAAUGACCUUAUUAAAGUUGUGGAAGCAAAAUUAAAA